rnacentral:rRNA from 1 species
AGGUUACUGCUAUCGGUGUUCGCUUAAGCCAUGCGAGUCAUAUGUUCUUCGUGAACAUGGCGUACUGCUCAGUAACACGUGGAUAACCUGCCCUUGGGUCCGGCAUAACCCCGGGAAACUGGGGAUAAUUCCGGAUAACGCACAUAUGCUGGAAUGCUUUAUGCGUCAAAUGGAUUCGUCCGCCCAAGGAUGGGUCUGCGGCCUAUCAGGUAGUAGUGGGUGUAAUGUACCUACUAGCCUACGACGGGUACGGGUUGUGAGAGCAGGAGCCCGGAGAUGGAUUCUGAGACAUGAAUCCAGGCCCUACGGGGCGCAGCAGGCGCGAAAACUUUACAAUGCGGGAAACCGUGAUAAGGGGACACCGAGUGCCAGCAUCAUAUGCUGGCUGUCCGGGUGUGUAAAAUACACCUGUUAGCAAGGGCCGGGCAAGACCGGUGCCAGCCGCCGCGGUAACACCGGCGGCCCGAGUGGUGAUCGUGAUUAUUGGGUCUAAAGGGUCCGUAGCCGGUUUGGUCAGUCCUCCGGGAAAUCUGACGGCUUAACCGUUAGGCUUUCGGGGGAUACUGCCAGACUUGGAACCGGGAGAGGUAAGAGGUACUACAGGGGUAGGAGUGAAAUCUUGUAAUCCCUGUGGGACCACCUGUGGCGAAGGCGUCUUACCAGAACGGGUUCGACGGUGAGGGACGAAAGCUGGGGGCACGAACCGGAUUAGAUACCCGGGUAGUCCCAGCCGUAAACGAUGCUCGCUAGGUGUCAGGCAUGGCGCGACCGUGUCUGGUGCCGCAGGGAAGCCGUGAAGCGAGCCACCUGGGAAGUACGGCCGCAAGGCUGAAACUUAA